UAAAUGGAUUUUCUUCUUGUUGAAGCGCCGCCGCGCCGGCCCCUGCGAAGCGCCGCCGCACCUGCCAGCUGCCCCAAAAGUACAGACAGCCGCGGCCGCCUCCUGAGCUCCGCCUUCCAGGCGGCCAACAUGUCUGCCUCCCGACCUCCGCUGCAAUUCGUGGCCUCUUCCACCUGCAGGUCGUUGUCUCCUACUACUGCAGGUCGCUGCCUCCUCCUUCUGUAGAUCGAUGGCUAUCUACUAGGUGCGUGAGCGUGAUGUUGAACUGAACGAUAAGCAUCAUCUGAACCAUAUGGGGGUUUAAUCAUGUAUAGCCACAGCGAUAGUGGAUGAGAGUACGUUGCUGAGCACCACUCGAUGACAAAAUGGUCAUCACAAGAUUCCCAAUGGAGAAAAUAAAAGAAGAUGGUGGUUUGAUAUCAGGAAGCAAGUGCUAGUACUAUAACAAGUCCAACUCAUCAUCGCCCAGACCAAUGUUGAAUCAAGUUCAGUUUUGUACGUAAGAGGUUCAGCCAUUUUUCUCUACUACUGAAACCAAUCAUUUGACAGGGAGUUCAAACUUUUUGUACAGGAAAGUGCACAUCCUAUUUCCCACACUUUUCUAUUUUUGAUCGCACAAACAUUUAAAAUAAAAUGUUUUAUUGAGAAGUUCACACACUACCAUCUCAAAUGUUCAGGUUUUCUUUUCCGUAAAGUUCAUAUUUUUUCUAAAAUGGAGUACUCUUCAGUUAAAUUUUGUAAAAAGAAAAAACAUCCUGAAUAGCAAGGACAAUUCAACAACAAGACCUAUAGUAGUUCAUCAGUAUGUAUCCACUAGAAAAAAUCAAGUUAUGAUGUUAGUCUUGGCAUUCAUCUUUUCAGAAUAUCGAGUAAAUAAGCAACUUCGGCAUGCCAAUGGGACCUUUUCAGUAAGUGCUUUGACUACAACUGAUGGUAGUUGGUAUUCUGUGACGUUGCGCUCAGCGGAAGGAGGGCGAGGAUAUUCAUCUUGGCAGUACAACUGCACCCGCCACUGCCGUUCACGACAAGAGCUGCGUGCAGGCCACCCCAUGCUCCGCCCUAGAUUUUUUUCAAUGAUCAGGCCGCCGUCGUCAUGGUUCCUGCCCCACGGCGGUCGUACUGGUUCAUGUGCAUUGUCAUCGGUCUUUUUUCGGUUGGAGACAGGGAGCGGCCCCAGGGAGCCCCUUCGUUAGUGGUUCAUUGGUAUCUCAAAUAUUAAGGUUGAAGGAGCUCCCUUCCGUUCAAUGGAUUCAACAAAAUAAUCCAUGCUGCCUACUAGAACUUGCGUGUGUACUGUGGCGUGUGUGCUGAUGCAUGCCUGGUGUCUGAUGCGGAAUGCGAGCAUGUACACAAACUUAACUGAAUGAUAUCCAGUAAGUGAACUCAAUGGCCUCCUGUAUCUGAACGGCAGGGGAGAUGCAUCAUGUACAAAAAAAUGGUAGGAUCUUGAGGUGUUGCUGCUACUUCUUUCUUCUCAUGCCCUACUGCUGCUCCAUUCGAUUCUAUGCUACUUAUAUGAGAAUAAUUGAUGGUUUAUAGGUGCUUGUUGAAAUGGUUAUGAGAACCAAUUUUUGUUGUUUGGUAUUUGGUAUAAUAGGCAAAGAAAGGAUACCCUAUGUUUCCUCUUGCUGAAUAGAUUUAUUUGAAGUUCCAUUUUUCCAGCAAGUGUAUGGUCCGAUUCUCUUGAAAAUGUUAUAAAAUCCACAAGUGCUGCAGCAGU